GGGCACAGCGCCGCCCCCNAGCGCGCUUCCCUGACACGGAAGAGGUCACUGGUUCGAUCCCAGUAUCGCCCACCA
rnacentral:tRNA from 1 species